UACGUAGGGUGCGAGCGUUAAUCGGAAUUACUGGGCGUAAAGCGUGCGCAGGCGGUUUUGUAAGCCAGAUGUGAAAUCCCCGGGCUUAACCUGGGAAUGGCAUUUGGGACUGCAAGGCUUGAGUGCGGCAGAGGAGACUGGAAUUCCUGGUGUAGCAGUGAAAUGCGUAGAUAUCAGGAGGAACACCGAUGGCGAAGGCAGCCCCCUGGGCUAACACUGACGCUCAGGCACGAAAGCGUGGGGAGCAAACAGG
rnacentral:rRNA from 1 species